rnacentral:rRNA from 1 species
GCAGUAGCCGCGGUAAUACGGAGGGUGCAAGCGUUAAUCGGAAUUACUGGGCGUAAAGCGCACGCAGGCGGUCUGACAAGUCAGAUGUGAAAUCCCCGGGCUUAACCUGGGAACUGCAUUUGAAACUGUCAGGCUGGAGUCUUGUAGAGGGGGGUGGAAUUCCAGGUGUAGCGGUGAAAUGCGUAGAGAUCUGGAGGAAUACCGGUGGCGAAGGCGGCCCCCUGGACAAAGACUGACGCUCAGGUGCGAAAGCGUGGGGAGCAAACAGGAUUAGAUACCCGGGUAGUCCCUGUCUCUUAUAC